rnacentral:rRNA from 1 species
AGAGUUUGAUCAUGGCUCAGAAUCAACGCUGGCGGCGUGCCUCAGACAUGCAAGUCGAACGCGAAAGUCCCCUUCGGGGGAUGAGUAGAGUGGCGUCCGGGUGAGUAACACGUAGGUAAUCUACCUUUGGGUGGGGAAUAACAACCGGAAACGGUUGCUAAUACCGCAUAAUGCAGCGGCACCACAUGGUGACAGUUGUUAAAGCGGGGGAUCGCAAGACCUCGCACCUGAAGAGGAGCCUGCGGCGGAUUAGCUAGUUGGUAGGUAACGGCUUGCCAAGGCAACGAUCCGUAGCCGGCCUGAGAGGGCGGUCGGCCACACUGACCCUGAAAUACGGGUCAGACUCCUACGGGAGGCAGCAGUCGGGAAUUUUGGGCAAUGGGCGCAAGCCUGACCCAGCAACGCCGCGUGAAGGAUGAAAUCCCUCGGGAUGUAAACUUCGCAAGAACGGGAAGAAUAAGUGGAAGUUAAUACCUUCCAUGAUGACGGUACCGUUUGUAAGCUCCGGCUAACUCCGUGCCAGCAGCCGCGGUAAUACGGGGGGAGCAAGCGUUGUUCGGAUUUACUGGGCGUAAAGGGCGCGUAGGCGGCCUGUGCAAGUCAGUUGUGAAAUCUCCGGGCUUAACUCGGAAAGGUCAACUGAUACUGCUCGGCUAGAGUGCGGAAGGGGCAACUGGAAUUCUUGGUGUAGCGGUGAAAUGCGUAGAUAUCAAGAGGAACACCUGCGGCGAAGGCGGGUUGCUGGGCCGACACUGACGCUGAGGCGCGAAAGCUAGGGGAGCGAACGGGAUUGGAUACCCCGGUAGUCCUAGCCUUAAACGAUGAAUGCUUGGUGUCUGGGGUUAUAAAGUCCCCGGGUGCCGUCGCUAACGCUUUAAGCGUUCCGCCUGGGGAGUACGGUCGCAAGACUGAAACUCAAAGGAAUUGACGGGGACCCGCACAAGCGGUGGAGCAUGUGGCUUAAUUCGACGCAACGCGAAGAACCUUACCUGGGCUAGAAUGCCUCUGACAACCCUAGAGAUAGGGCCUCCAAGGUAAAACUUGGCAGAGUGCAAGGUGCUGCAUGGCUGUCGUCAGCUCGUGUCGUGAGAUGUUGGGUUAAGUCCCGCAACGAGCGCAACCCUUAUCGAUAGUUGCCAGCGGUUCGGCCGGGCACUCUAUUGAGACUGCCGUUGAC